rnacentral:rRNA from 1 species
UCCUACGGGAGGCAGCAGUGGGGAAUAUUGCACAAUGGGCGGAAGCCUGAUGCAGCGACGCCGCGUGGGGGAUGACGGCCUUCGGGUUGUAAACCUCUUUCAGCCCUGACGAAGCGGGAGUGACGGUAGGGGCAGAAGAAGCGCCGGCCAACUACGUGCCAGCAGCCGCGGUAAGACGUAGGGCGCGAGCGUUGUCCGGAUUUAUUGGGCGUAAAGAGCUCGUAGGCGGCUUGUCGCGUCGUCUGCGAAAACCCGUGGCUCAACUGCGGGCUUGCAGUCGAUACGGGCAGGCUGGAGUUCGGUAGGGGAGACUGGAAUUCCUGGUGUAGCGGUGAAAUGCGCAGAUAUCAGGAGGAACACCGGUGGCGAAGGCGGGUCUCUGGGCCGAUACUGACGCUGAGGAGCGAAAGCGUGGGGAGCGAACAGGAUUAGAUACCCUGGUAGUCCACGCUGUAAACGUUGGGCGCUAGGUGUGGGGGGCCUCUCCGGUUCUCUGUGCCGCAGCUAACGCAUUAAGCGCCCCGCCUGGGGAGUACGGCCGCAAGGCUAAAACUCAAAGGAAUUGACGGA